CCUACGGGAGGCAGCAGUGAGGAAUAUUGGUCAAUGGGCGCGAGCCUGAACCAGCCAAGUAGCGUGAAGGAUGACUGCCCUACGGGUUGUAAACUUCUUUUAUAAAGGAAUAAAGUGAGGCACGUGUGCAUUUUGGUAGGUACUUUAUGAAUAAGGAUCGGCUAACUCGGUGCAAGCAGCCGCGGUAAUACGGAGGAUCCGAGCGUUAUCCGGAUUUAUUGGGUUUAAAGGGAGCGUAGAUGGGUUGUUAAGUCAGUUGUGAAAGUUUGCGGCUCAACCGUAAAAUUGCAAUUGAUACUGGCAGUCUUGAGUACAGUUGAGGUAGGCGGAAUUCGUGGUGUAGCGGUGAAAUGCUUAGAUAUCACGAAGAACUCCGAUUGCGAAGGCAGCUUACUAAACUGCCACUGACAUUGAUGCUCGAAAGUGUGGGUAUCGAACAGGAUUAGAUACCCCUGUAGUC
rnacentral:rRNA from 1 species